CGCUUCUCCCGGGCCCGGCGGUCAAGGUCACCUCUCGGUGCCUACAGCUCCGAGCAGGCCCCGUGGGUCCCUUCGCGGGUGGACCCGGGAUGGGGGGCGGCUGAGGGGCGAGGGGACCUUCCCGGACUGCCCCCGACACCACUCGGAGUGUUUUGUCCCAGCGCACGGCAGCACUGACCUCUUGUGUCCCUUCGGACUCGGGAUGUCCCCAGCCGGGGGAUGGCGGAGAAAUCCUUUCCAGUCCUUUCCCAACCUAUUUUCGGCCUCAUCUUGCAGAAAUUAAUUUCCAAAGGAUGGAAAAGCCCCACAGCAAGGCUGGUGCCUUUGGCAAGGGUGGAAGCAUCAUCACAUCACUGCAGGGACAUAUUUAUGUUCAUAGUUAUAGAACAGGACAGGAAAUGAGUCUGAACAUCCAUCCCCCUUUACCAGUGCUGGGAGACUCAUCAUGGCCCCUUAAUAAUGAGUGUAUAGUUGAAUUAAUAAUUAAUAAGGAGCAUCCUCCGGUUCCGAACCCCCCUGUUGUACCGCAGCGACUCCAGCAGAGGGCAGCACCGCCCCGCCCCAUCCCGCCCCAUGGUGCUGGUUCUGGUUCCGAGUCCCGCAGAACCCUUGGGGCAGGGCUGAGCCCUUCCCUGAGAUCUGGAGCCCUGAAGUUAAAUCGCGUGGAAAAGUUUCAGAGGGGAAUAAAAGAAAAAUAAAAAUAAAUGAGAGGAGAGGGCACGGGAGGCUCUGACCCUAAAACUGGGAUUUUAGCCCCAUGUGGAGUGAAUCUGUCCCAGCACGGAAGCACCAGGAGCACUCAGCAUUUUUUUUUUGACUCUUUUAAGGGCCACGAGUAGGACUUGGGCAUCCUGCAGCUCUGCCCAGCAUUAAAGAGGUGAAAAAAAAAUAAAAAUAAAUGAACAGCCAGCAAAGGGAGAGAGGGGGCUCCUGGUCCUGCCCUGGGACCCUGCUCCCUGGGGCUCACCUGGGGAAGUUGUGCUCGUUUUAUUAUGUACAACAUGGCAGACCCGCUGAGGGAUGCAGUUAAUAAGACUUAAUUAAAACUUAUUUGCUUGGUUUCAGCCACGCACAGAGCCAGCUGCCUUCAUUGCACUGUGGGGUUUUAUAGCAGUGCAGAUUGGGAAGCUGAAAAAAAAAAAAAAAGGCUUUGAUUUCAGCCUGCAGGAGGGUUUGGGGCUGCCUGGGUGGGUGUCAGAGCUCCUGCUUCUGUUCCAGGUGGGGAGAUGGCCAUGGCAAUGGCUGUGUCAUUUAUAUCCGUGUUUAUAUCUAA